rnacentral:tRNA from 2 species
GCGGGGGUAGCCCAACUGGCAGAGGCAGCCGGGAUGAGACUCAGAUUCUCGCUCCAAUGUCAGCAUUCACCACUGAUCGCCAGAUCGAACGAGCAGGACAGAGACACCGGAUGCCGGUUCAAUUCCGGCCCGCUCCGCU